UGGGGAAGAUUGCACAAUGGGAGAAAGCCUGAUGAAGCCAUGCCGCGUGUAUGAAGAAGGACUUCGGGUUGUAAAGUACUUUCAGCGGGGAGGAAGGUGUUGUGGUUAAUAACCACAGCAAUUGACGUUACCCGCAGAAGAAGCACCGGCUAACUCCGUGCCAGCAGCCGCGGUAAUACGGAGGGUGCAAGCGUUAAUCGGAAUUACUGGGCGUAAAGCGCACGCAGGCGGUCUGUCAAGUCGGAUGUGAAAUCCCCGGGCUCAACCUGGGAACUGCAUCCGAAACUGGCAGGCUUGAGUCUUGUAGAGGGGGGUAGAAUUCCAGGUGUAGCGGUGAAAUGCGUAGAGAUCUGGAGGAAUACCGGUGGCGAAGGCGGCCCCCUGGACAAAGACUGACGCUCAGGUGCGAAAGCGUGGGGAGCAAACA
rnacentral:rRNA from 1 species